AUCAGGUACAGUGGUACACACCUGUGGUCCCAGCUACUCAGGAGGCUGAGGUGAGAGGAUUGCUUGAACCCAGGAAUUCUGGGCUGCAGUGUGCUGUACCAAUUAGGUGUCUGCACUAAAUUCAGUAUCAAUAUGCUGACCUCCUGGGAUCGAGGGGCUGGGGUGACCACCAAGUUGCUUAAGAAUGGUGAACUGGUCCAGGUCAGAAACAGAGCAGGUCAGAGCUCUCAUGAUUGUUGGUAGUGGGAUCGUGCCUAUUAAUAUCUACUGCACUCCAGGCUUGGCAACAAAGUGAGACCUCAGCUUUA
ensembl:misc_RNA Metazoa_SRP Metazoan signal recognition particle RNA